CCAAGGAGUCUAACAUGUGCGCGAGUCACUCGGUCUUGAAUAGGCCAGAGAGGCGCAAUGAAAGUGAAUUUGAGUUACGAUUCUCAUGCGGUCACUCCUUGUGGGUGACGGUGAGACGCAGUAACGGCCCACUAAUUUCGCUUAUUGACGAUCUAGUGGAGUUGUAGCGUACACGUUGGUACCCGAAAGAUGGUGAACUAUGCCUGGGCAAGACGAAGCCAGAGGAAACUCUGGUGGAGGUCUGUAGCGAUUCUGACGUGCAAAUCGAUCGUCAGACCUGGGUAUAGGGGCGAAAGACUAAUCGAACCAUC
rnacentral:rRNA from 1 species